rnacentral:rRNA from 1 species
GACGUAGGUGGCGAGCGUUGUUCGGAAUCACUGGCAUAAAGCGCACGUAGGCGGCCAUGUCAGUCGGGUGUGAAAUUUCGGAGCUUAACUCCGAAACUGCAUUCGAUACUGCCGUGCGUUGAGGACUGGAGAGGAGACUGGAAUUUACGGUGUAGCAGUGAAAUGCGUAGAGAUCGUAAGGAAGACCAGUGGCGAAGGCGGGUCUCUGGACAGUUCUGACACUGAGGCACGAAGGCCAGGGAGCAAACGGG